CCUACGGGUGGCAGCAGUCGAGAAUCAUUCACAAUGGGGGAAACCCUGAUGGUGCGACGCCGCGUGGGGGAAUGAAGGUCUUCGGAUUGUAAACCUCUGUCAUGUGGGAGCAAAUUAAAAAGAUAGUACCACAAGAGGAAGAGACGGCUAACUCUGUGCCAGCAGCCGCGGUAAUACAGCGGUCUCAAGCGUUGUUCGGAAUCACUGGGCGUAAAGCGUGCGUAGGCUGUUUCGUAAGUCGUGUGUGAAAGGCGCGGGCUCAACCCGCGGAGGGCACAUGAUACUGGGAGACUAGAGUAAUGGAGGGGGAAGCGGAAUUCGCGGUGUAGCAGUGAAAUGCGUAGAUAUCGAGAAGAACACU
rnacentral:rRNA from 1 species